AUAAUGCAAAGUUUUCCUAGUAAGAUUUUUUUAUUUAAAUUGCAGCAAAGAUUUCAUUGAAAAUCUUAAGAUUUGUUUGGAUUAUACUAGGUAUACAAAUUAAUUGAAAUGAAACAAGGAAUCUAACUAAUUAAAAUUUAUGUCAAUGUUUUCAUUUUGUAUAUUAAAAUGAUGUUCAUUAGAAUUAGAAUUCUAUCAUUUUAUUUAUAAUUAAUGUAACAAGAUAUAUCAUUGAAAAUAGGUCCUAUUUAUAAAUUAUAUAAGCUAUUUAUUUUUUGGUUAUUGAACACCUCAAACAACAGCACCAGAUAAUAGGCAUUAAAAGUCAUUUCAUAAGUACAAGAAAUUGUAAAUGAUAUUAUGCUUUUGAUAUUAUGUUACAUCCUCAUAAAUGAAUUAGUCUAUUCUUUUGAUGAUUGGCAAUGAUUAAUUAUCCUGCUUUUACAGCCACUUGAUAUACUGCUGUUCAAUGUAUACAGAUGUGUUAACACACAGAGAUACAGCUUAUCUGAUCAAGAUAAGGACCAAUGAAAAUACAGGCUUCUGAACCGCUUUACACCUGUACACCAAAAAAUAAUCCCAAUCUUUCUGCUUGUUUUUUUUUCUCCGAGAUCUUUGCAAAUGCUGUGAGCAAAUAAAUGGUCAAAUUUUCCCAUGAACUGUAUACUUAUAUAUUUUAAGAACAUAGAUAUUCCCUUCAGUAACUAUAUUGUACCAAAGAAAAUGGCUCAUGAAUACAAAAAUUUGAAUGUAAACAGGAAGUUCGUUGUUCAUGUUGUUGGAGGCAAAUGGAAUAAAGCUAACUUGAAACUCUAAAAUGCAUUUAGAGAGGUAUCAGGUAAGAGUUUCAAACUUUCUAAAUGUAAAAUUUAAGUUUUACAGCUAUAUGUCACAGAUCUUGAAUAAAUAGACUGAAGCAGGAAUUUUAUUCAUCUCAGUAGAUUGAACUUUCGAUCGCCUGGUUACAGGUAACUUUUUCAGGUAUAUGUGAAUGAUAGAUCAUUUAUAAUGCUUCUAAGAAAACAGUUAAAUAUUCAAUACUUAAUUGUUGCAGUUGUCAAUUUUUUUAUUUUUUUUCAUAAGUACAAAUAUGUUAGUAAAAUCACUCUGAACCUUUGACUUACAACAGCCUCUAAACAUUUUCAGAUGAAAGAGUGUGCAUAUAUCUAGUUAUUAGAGGUAUGCCUAUAUGUAUGAAUUGAUGUAGUUGGAGAAAUCAGAUCGCUUCAGUGCAUGACUAUGCUACAGGAUGAUACAAGAUCACAGACAGAAAUUAGAUCAAGGAUCAAACAUAAAUUACAUAAUACUUCAGCUAAAUUAAAUGGUUGGAAUGAAGUUCCUGACCAUGGUGAUGGUUUUGGAAAAGCUAAGAGGCAUUCUGAUGCCACCUUAUAUUGAGACUACAAUACUCCAAAAUGAUUUUGUUGUAUUCAUAAUUUUCUAUCAAAUAAUCUUUUAGUUUAAUUUUUAAGUUUAAGCUAAGUGAUUUUUUAUUAUUCUUAACCACAAGUGUAAAAGCCGCUGGCAGAUGUGUUAUUCCCCUUUGAAUUUUAUUCUUUUUGUGUUUUUUGAAACCCAGAUCUGUCUCAAUAUUAGAUUAAAAUAAUUUUGUAAUGAUAUUAUUUCUUCUUUUUUUGUUUUGUGUCAAUAUCAGCAAUGUUUUCCAAUGGUUUUCCAUCAAACCUUUCCAAACUUUUGCAAAGAAUUCUUCUAAAAAUUCCUUCACAUUUAAUGCGAUGA